GUGUUGGCGACCUCUUGAGGCAAAAAAGCACUCGAAAGACUCAUACUAUACCUAUGCGUGCUGGAACGGUGUUCAUCUGUCUGGAGGUUAACCCGAGCGAUUUGAGGUUCUGGCGCAAUGGCAGAAAAGGAGCUUGCGCGGGUGAGGAGUAAGUUUGUUGAAAAGAUCUCCAAAGCUCUUCUUGACCAGCUCCUGGAUGACAUUUUGGAGGAUGGCAUCUUGAAUGAUGGAGAGAGAGAGUCAAUAGUUGAGGAGAACAAGAACCGAGCCGACAAGGCGCGCUGCCUCAUUGACACUGUGAGGAAAAAAGGAGAUCAAGCCAGCAACAAGCUGAUUUGUCACCUUCAAAGAAGAGAUCCUAUGCUUUUCGCUGAGCUGGGUCUGACUGUCUGACCAGGAGGAAACCAAAACCUCGUGAACACUCAUCCCUACUGCCGAGACUUUUUGAAAUAAAGAAAUGUGGAGUGAACAUGCUCAUCUUUCAUCAUCAUUACUUUUCAAAGCAAUAACAUGAAUUAUCACAUCUAAAGAUACAAUACUGUAUCUUAAUUAUUUUUUUACACUUUUUUUUUAGCACUAUUAUAUGAUCCUUUUAUAUUUUGCCAACAUGACAAAUCUCAAAUGUCCAUGAAAAUAAAACUGUAAUGAUUCCAGGUUCUUCUGUACGUUAUUUUGUGUAGGUGAUGGAUGAGAAUUACAGAAAUUACAAUCUGUUUACAUUAAGAUCAUUUUAUAAUCUAGUUCAAUUAAAUCUCAAUGACAGUAAA